GCCUGGGUGGCUUAGUCGGUUAAGCGUCUGACUUCAGCUCAGGUCAUGAUCUCAGGGUCCUGGGAUCAAGCCCCGUGUCGGGCU
rnacentral:tRNA from 1 species